rnacentral:rRNA from 1 species
ACAAGCGGUGGAGUAUGUGGUUUAAUUUCGAUGCAACGCGAAGAACCUUACCUGGUCUUGACAUCCCGGAGACCCUUAGGAAACUAGGGGUGCUUCCAUCUGGAAGAAUCUGGAGACAGGUGCUGCAUGGCUGUCGUCAGCUCGUGUCGUGAGAUGUUGGGUUAAGUCCCGCAACGAGCGCAACCCUUGCCUUUAGUUGCCAGCAGUUCGGCUGGGCACUCUAAAGGGACUGCCGGUGUUAAACCGGAGGAAGGUGGGGAUGACGUCAAGUCCUCAUGGCCUUUAUGACCAGGGCUACACACGUACUACAAUGGCCGAUACAAAGGGCAGCGACACUGCGAGGUGAAGCCAAUCCCGUAAAAUCGGUCUCAGUCCGGAUUGGAGUCUGCAACUCGACUCCAUGAAGUUGGAAUCGCUAGUAAUCGUGGAUCAGCAUGCCACGGUGAAUACGUUCCCGGGCCUU